rnacentral:misc_RNA from 1 species
GAUGAAGAACGUAGCGAAAUGCGAUAAGUAAUGUGAAUUGCAGAAUUCAGUGAAUCAUCGAAUCUUUGAACGCACCUUGCGCUCCUUGGCAUUCCGAGGAGCAUGCCUGUUUGAGUGUCAUUAAAUUCUCAAGACCUGUCUGCUUUUUUGAUAGGUAUUGGAUUUUGGGGGUUGCAGGCUGUUUCAAAUAAAUAGCCUUGCUCUCCUUGAAUGUAUUAGUGGAGAAAAGCCAUUGAACUCCAUUGGUGUGAUAAAACCUAUCAAUGCCAGGAGCAAUAUCACUACUGCUCUCUGCUGUCUAACUGUGACUGUCUGUAUUAAUUAGUAUGGAUGGGGACAACUUGACCAACUUGACCUCAAAUCAGGUAGGACUACCCGCUGAACUUAAGCAUAUCAAUAAGCGGAGGA